AAAACUCUCAAAGGACCAAACUUGGCCUUGCCUAAAGCAACAUCAAACAGCAUAUCAAAGAUGAUUUUCUGCCAUUGUAAACACAAGUAGCAGCCAACAUAACCAACUGAAAAAACCUUGUGCUCUCAAACUUCAUUUUUGGGCAUUUUUCCAAACUCUGUCAAAAAAAAAAAACUCAAAAGACCAUGAGCAAGCUUUGUUGGUUCACAAUAUCAAAACAACAUUUUGAACUCAUUCCAACCACUUCCCUCCAUCUGUAAACUCCUUUUCCACUGCUGCUACAAGAG
rnacentral:lncRNA from 1 species